AAGGCCUAGGAGGUCCCCCGCCUCCGAAGCUUCGAACCUUUCAACACCAGUGUGCACCCGCCGUAGGUCCUUCGGGAUCUAUGUCUUCUCUUUCGAACUCGUAUGUCUACAGAAUGUAUGCGUCGCUCCGGCGACGGGUUAAGCCCUAUACAACUUUCAGCAAUGGAUCUCUUGGCUCUCGCAUCGAUGAAGAACGCAGCGAAUCGCGAUAAGUAAUGUGAAUUGCAGAUUUUCCGUGAAUCAUCGAAUCUUUGAACGCACCUUGCGCUCCUUGGUAUUCCGAGGAGCAUGCCUGUUUGAGUGUCAUCGAAACCUCGAACCAAAGUCCUUCGAUCCGUCGGAGCUUUGUUUUCGGACCAUGGGAGCAUGCGGGCGGCGACGUCGGCUCUCCUCAAAAGCAUUAGCUGUGGGCGGCGAGCCUUGCGUGACACACGGCCUUGUUCGACGUCGUAAUGAUCGUCGUGGGCUGGAGGCGCGUGGAUCGACCGGUCUCAUGCUUCGCAACCCUCUGCGGGACGACCGCACGUAACCAAGGCUUGACCUCAAAUCAGGUAGGACUACCCGCCGAACUUAAGCAUAUCA
rnacentral:rRNA from 1 species